GACGAACGCUGGCGGCGCACCUAACACAUGCAAGUCGAGCGAUGAAAUUUUAAACGAUCUCUUCGGAGAGAAGAUAAAAUGGAUUAGCGGCGGACGGGUGAGUAACACGUGAGAAACCUGCCUUUCACAAGGGGAUAGCCUCGGGAAACCGGGAUUAAUACCCUAUGACACAUUUCCUUCGCAUGGAAGAAAUGUUAAAACUCCGGUGGUGAAAGAUGGUCUCGCGCCUGAUUAGCUAGUUGGUGGGGUAACGGCCCACCAAGGCCAUGAUCAGUAACCGGGCUGAGAGGGUGAACGGUCACAUUGGAACUGAGACACGGUCCAAAAUCCUACGGGAGGCAGCAGUGGGGAAUAUUGCACAAUGGAGGAAACGCUGAUGCAGCGACGCCGCGUGAGCGAUGAAGGCUUUCGAGUCGUAAAGCUCUGUACUAUGGGAAGAUAAUGACGGUACCAUAGGAGGAAGCCCCGGCUAACUACGUG
rnacentral:rRNA from 1 species